rnacentral:rRNA from 1 species
UGGGGAAUAUUGGGCAAUGGGGGCAACCCUGACCCAGCGACGCCGCGUGGGUGAAGAAUUCCCUCGGGAUGUAAAGCCCUGUUGUAUGGGAAGAGCAGAAGACGGUACCAUACGAGGAAGCCCCGGCAAACUACGUGCCAGCAGCCGCGGUAAUACGUGGGGGGCAAGCGUUGUCCGGAAUUACUGGGCGUAAAGCGCACGCAGGCUGAAUGAUAAGUCGGUAGUCAAAGGCGGAGGCUCAACCUUCGUUU